rnacentral:rRNA from 1 species
CCUACGGGGGGCAGCAGUGGGGAAUAUUGCGCAAUGGGCGAAAGCCUGCCGCAGCGACGCCGCGUGAGGGAUGAAGGUCUUCGGAUCGUAAACCUCUGUCAGCAGGGAAGAACGGUCACUGUGCUAAUCAGCAGUGAAUUGACGGUACCUGCAAAGGAAGCACCGGCUAACUCCGUGCCAGCAGCCGCGGUAAUACGGAGGGUGCGAGCGUUAAUCGGAAUUACUGGGCGUAAAGCGCUCGUAGGCGGUAUGUCAAGUCAAGGGUGAAAUCCCCGCGCGCAACGUGGGAACUGCCUUUGAAACUGGCAAACUGUAAUGUGUGGGAGAAUAGUAGAAUUACAGGUGUAGGAGUGACAUCCGAAGAUAUCUGGAGGAACAUCAGUGGCGAGGGCGACUAUCUGGCACAUAACUGACGCUGAGGAGCGAAAGCGUGGGUAGCAAACAGGAUUAGAUACCCUUGUAGUC